GGAGAGAUGUCCGAGUUGGUCUAAGGAGCACGCCUGGAGAGCGUGUAGCCCCCAAAAGGGGCUCCUGGGUUCGAAUCCCAGUCUCUCCG
rnacentral:tRNA from 1 species